GCUCAGCAUUGUGGCGCCAAACCCCACACUUUGAGGCUGACUGAAUGAAAGAAAAGUUACUCAGGUAGGCCUGGAUAAAGGUCGCGAAGUCCCAGUCCUCAUUAUCACUGGCUUUUUUUUUCUUCUAAAUGUGGCUGCUAUCAGUUAUUUUAGCUGCUGUGGAUAUUAUAACAGAAAUGAUGAAACUGAGAAACACUGAACACAGAAAGUCUCAGCAUCAGAUUCGCUCGAACGGUCGAGGAAAGAGAUUUGACCUUGUAAACAUGGUGAAAUGUGUUGUAUACUUCCAGGGUAGAGAAGGAAAUGAACCUGAUGCUGGUGGAUUUGCAAGCACCCAGUCUUCGCUUCUCCUAACAGCCCAGAAGAAUGGAGGAGGUGGAUCAUUUCCCUCAAACGCCAUGACACAGGAUGGUACCCAGUCCAGACCUUCGGGAAAACAACAGCAGCGUGAUAUUUUGAAAUCUGAUGCUGUUCCUUUGAUCUUCAACUGCCACCCAGAUUCACCUACAGACAAAAUGUUUGUUGUCAAGAUGCAAUAAUGAACAGCGACCAGACGUUAAUCUUCCCUUAUUGUGAGCAGCCUUGGCCCUUGCAACAUGGGUAUAAAGGGAAAAUAAUACUGUGGUUAAAAUUCAAGUUCACUUUUCAGAAGAACAAACCGAAGAUAUUCUUAUUUCAGCCUAAGUCCCUUAUACACCCAACCUCGUCAUUCCUGCAUCAUUAUCAAAUCCAUCAUUUUUUAUUUAUUCACUUUUUCAUAUUCAUGAAAUGAUUAGUAUCAUUGUACUGUUGAAGCGCUUUGAAUGUUGUUCGCUUUGGCCUAUGAUCGUGACUGAAUCUGAGCGAGAGUGAAUGAUCAUGAUGAGAGUAUUGUA
rnacentral:misc_RNA from 1 species